rnacentral:rRNA from 1 species
AUUGAACGCUGGCGGCAGGCCUAACACAUGCAAGUCGAGCGGAGCGGCGGACGGGUGAGUAAAGCCUAGGAAUCUGCCUGGUAGUGGGGGAUAACGUCCGGAAACGGACGAUCAUACCGUAUACUAUUAGAGGAGAGUAGGUCGGUUUAGCUAGUUGGUGGGGUAAUGGCCUACAAGGGCGACGAGCCGUCACUGGUCUGAGAGGAUUAUCAGGCAAACUGGAACUGAGACACGGUCCAGACGCCGACGGGAGGCAGCGGUGGGGAAUAUUGGACAUUGGGCGAAAGCCUGAUCCAGCCAUGCCGCGUGUGUGAAGAAGGUCUUCGGAUUGUAAAGCACUUUAAGUUGGGAGGCGUUACCAACAGAAUAAGCACCGGCUAACUUCGUGCCAGCAGCCGCGGUAAUAC